CUUUUACUCCCUCUGUCCGAAAAUACUCGUCGGUGAAAUGGAUAAAAAUGGGUGUAUCUAAAACUAAAAUAUGUCUAGGUACAUCCAUUUCUCCGACAAAUAUUUCCAAACGGGGGGAGUAUAUU
rfam:Triticum aestivum genome assembly, contig: Triticum_aestivum_CS42_TGACv1_scaffold_582126_7BL